GCUCGCAGCUCGGACUUUCGAGCGGGUGAAAUUUCACCCGCUCGACAAUGCUUCUUCAGACGCUCAUUUCACCCCAAACCUCCUCCCUCUGCAGCCUCGUCUCCCUCACAUUCCUGCCUUCUCACCGUCCCAACCUUCUCCCUCUGCAGCCUCGUCUCCCUCGCCUUCCCGCCUUCUCACCGUCGCACCAGAGGCAUCGCCUCUCUCACCAUCGCCACUCUGCCGUCGCCGCUCCGCUCCUCCGCCGGUUUGCUUUCUCCCUUUCUCUCUUGCUCUUGCCGAUGCAUUCGCUUUCUCCCUUUCCCUCUUGCUGAUGCCUUCGCCAUCGUUCUGUGGCCUUCUAUCUCUGCCACGAUCGAGCAAGCCAGCCAUAUCUCCAACCUUCCUUCAUUGCCAGGGCCGAGCAGUAGGGACAUCUGUGAGUGUCAAGUGACGGACAAUUCGUCCCCUCUUUCACCAAGAGCAGAUCAUCGCCCUUUGCCAUCAAAUCCCACUGCCCGGCAGCAAGUCUUCUCCUCAGCAAAAUUAUAUUCAGGCAGGCUUCUUUCGGAAGCUAUCAUGUUCGUUGUAGAUUUGCAGGUUCAGUUAGGAUGUCUGUGGAGUUCACACAAUCUGACUUCUGAAAAUAUUGUUAGGAUGUCGUCUACUGUAUGUUGAAGGCCGCUCUUUAGUAUGAAUUUGGUGGGAUUGUCUGUGGAGUUCACACAAUUUGUCUCUCUUGCUUGGUUUUUGGAGGCACCAGUAGAAUUGAUAUGAAUGGUUGCUGUAGAUUUGUUGGGAUUGUUGGAAGCGGAUGGUGAUGCCCCUACAGGAGGGAGAGAAAGGGAGCGUUGGACGGAUUAAUCUGCUUCUUUACAAACCGCUGUUUAGAUGGUCCAGCACUGUAUUGUAGUCACUUAUACAGUUAAAUGAAUUUCUUUGGGGAUGUAGCAUGUGAAAGAAUACCACUUUGUUCAAUACAUGGUUCAAUAGAAAAAAGCAGAAAAGAGACUGAAAAUAAGCAAAAAGAUUACAUGGUUACAUGAAUACUAGCCUAUCUCACCCAAUCGUUUGUGUAGCACGUUAGCUUAGAUAAUCCAUUGCAUGUUCAGUUAACCAUUUGGUUAUGGUUUGCAGACUGUGUGGGGUAUAGAUUAGUCUUUUCCUCUUUUAAAAGAUACCAGAAGGUCUUCAUCACCUUGCUCAAGGUCUUGUAUAGAAAUUCUGAAAAUGUGAGGCCAGACCUUUUUUCCUCUAAGUGCCAUCGCUUAUGUGAGGGGACUUGAGCAGCAGCAAAACAAAUGCAUUUACUUCUUACUGGGAUAAGGCCAAGUUGAUCCAGUUAAUCGUUAAGAGGGAUUUAAGGGCAGUGAAGCAUGCCGCCAUGGAUGUUGUUGAACACCUUGUUGGAAUUCAGUCACGAGUGGAAGAUAUCAAGAAAUUAUUAUCUCUUGAAACAGACGACGUUAAAAUGAUUGGGAUCCAUGGCAUGGGAGGGAUCGGCAAGACCACGCUGGCAAAAGUAGUGUUUAACCAAAUAUUUAAAAGCUUUGAUGCCAGUUGCUUCCUUUCAGAUAUUAGAGAGACAUCAAAGCAAUACAAGGGAUUGAUCUUGUCGCAGGAGAAACUUAUUUCUUAGAUACUAAACUUUGAGAAAUUUGAGAUAACUGAUGUCAGUCAAGGGAUUGCAACAAUCAAGAGUAGGCUCCACAUUAAGCGUCUUCUCAAAGUUCUGGACGAUGUUGACCAUAACAAUGAACUUGAUGCCUUGGUUGGUUCUCGAGAUUGGUUUUGUGGGGGAAGUAGAAUCAUCAUUACAACCAGAUAUAAACAUGUUCUAAAUGUACAGAAAUUGAACAAGGAUGAGUUUUACCAGCCAGGCGAAUUGAAUCGCGUUGAAUUGCUUGAACUGUUUUCCUUGCAUACCUUUGAAAAGAGUCAACCGGCAAAUGAUUACAUAUAACUCUGAUAAAAUUAUAAAAGCUGCUGGUGGACUUCCCUUGGCACUUGAAGUCCUUGGUUCAUUUCUAUUUGGUAAGAAGGAUGUAAAAGAGUGGGAAGAUCUGUUGGAGGGAUUACAGCAUAUCCCAUUGAUGACGUACAGAGGAGGCUAAGCCUAAAACUAAGUUAUGAUAGCCUUGAUCCUGAAGAGAAAAAAAUAUUUCUUGAUCUUGCUUGUUUUUUCAUUAGCCCGACUAAGGAUCAGGUAAGUGAUAUAUUGAAGAGUUGUGGUUUCUACGCAUCUCUAGCAAUAACAGUAUUGCAGCACAGGUCACUUGUCAAAAUUGAUAAGAACAGGUUGGAAAUGCAUGACCAACUUCAAGAACUGGGGGAAGUUAUUGUUCGAGAAAAUAGCUCUUUCAAUCCAGGCUUGUGUAGCAGGCUAUGGAUUACAGAUGAAGUGCUUGAUGUAUUGGAUAAUCAAAAGGUAAGGGAUCAGAAAAACACAGUUAACUUGGUCUUUCACUUUUCUUAUGUUGAUAAACUUUUUUUCAAGCACAGGGAACAGGAAAUGUUGAAGGCAUUGUAGUUGACCUUAGAGGAUUACUUAGCAAGAGACGUGUGAGAACUAAAUCCUUUGCCAGAAUGAUGAACCUGAGGCUGCUUCGUGCCAUCUUUGCAGAAUUCAAAGGCAAUUUCAAACAUAUGUCUACAGGGUUGAGAUGGUUAGAGUGGCAUGGCUGUCCACUAAAAUCACUCCCCAAUGACUUCAGUCUUGAAAAGGUUGCAGUUCUUGAACUGUCACUUAGCAGGGUUGUUCAGCUUUGGAGCUCAAGAUGCUAUUGCAGAAAGAAAGUUAGGCUACCUUUUACUUCAUCAUCAUGUUGAAUAUUCUGUUUAUCUUGAUAUCAGGGUGUCUUGGCGUGUGUGUAUGUGUGUGCAUAUGUAUGUAUAUACCCAACCGCUAAAACAUAAUCAUUUGUCAUGAAUAAACCCUUUACUCAUUUUCUCUGGGACAAAAAGAGUAGCCUUCUAAGAUGAAAAUUGGUUGUUUAUAAUUUCUCAACUCCAUAUUAUGUGUUGAAACAAGAUGAUUUAAUAAUGGAUUCCUUCUCAUUCAAUUAUCCAGAUCACUUCCAUGAGAUCAAAUUCUAAAAACAAUGUUAGAAAUAAAAAAAUUGCAUGACUAUAUUGGUCCACUUCCUCAUAUUAUUAAGUUUAAAUCUCUCUCUUUCAUUCUCUCUCUUUCUUCCUUUUUCUAUAUUCAGCGUUGUUAAAAUCAGUUUGAAUCAGCAUAUAUAGGCCUACCAAAAUUGAACCUAUGAAUAAAGUGUCCAUGAUUAAGGUCAUUUUUUGUUUAAAGAUAAAUUUUGUUUAUUUUAUAUUAUUUAAUUAGUCCUUUUCAGUUGCUUGAGGCUUGCAUGUUAUUAUUUAUUUUAUUUUAUUUUCAGUUUUGAUGAAAACUUUUAUCGUUUUUAUAUUGGUUGCAUUGAAGGUAUUCAAACUUCUGACUUUCUGAUUUAAAAGCAAUUCAAUUCAAUACAAUUUGGUCCAUUUGCUGAAUCGUUUUGAAACAUGCUUCUUUGUGAUUGUCUUCCUCUGCUUUUUUUGCUCGUCUUCAAUGAGUUGAAAGUUCUUAUUCUUAGUGGCUGCUUACAUCUCAAGAAGACACCUGACUUUUCAAGCUCACCCAGAUUAGAAAAAUUGAGUCUUAAGGGUUGUCAUGAGCUGGUCCAAGUGGAUGAAUCCAUUGGGAAGCUUGAUAGGUUGGCAGUGCUAGACUUGUCUUGAUGAUCUAAACUAAAGAGGCUGCCUAAUGUCAUAUGCAGCUUAAGUUCUCUUAAGAACCUUGACCUCUCCAGAUGCACUGAUCUCUGCAGAUGUUGCCAAUGCAGUGGGGUGUAAUGGGUUCUUUCAGAAAUCUUCAUCAAUUAUCUUUGUUUAGGUGUAGCAAUCUGCAAGAGCUGCCUGAUUCAUUGGGAGUAAUGCCUAGACUUGAAAAGCUAAACUUGAGAUACUGUCAAUCAUUGAAGACAUUGCCUGACUCCAUUGGAGAUAAGAAAAGACUAUCUGAGCUUUACCUAACUAAUGUUGCUCUUGUACAACUUCCCUCUUCAAUAGGCUCUCUUGUGGAGCUAAAGGGAUUAUGGAUGUUUGGGUACAACAAGCUGAAAAGCUUGCCAGAUACUCUUGGCCACUUGAUGAAACUUGAGAAGUUGGACCUGAGCUAUUGUAAGUCCUUAAAAACGUUACCUCCUUCAGUUGGUAGUAUGAAAAAUCUAGUUGAACUUUACUUCAACUUUGUUGAUAUUAAAGAGCUCCCUAAAUCAAUGGGAUCACUUGGUUUCCUACAGAAGUUAUCCUUGCAAGGAUGCAACAAGUUGGUAGUAUUACCAGAUGGAUUUGACAACUUGACCAAUCUUGAGAAGCUGGACCUAAGAGGCUGUUCAUCAUUUAGAAAACUACCUGAUUCCAUUGGAAAUAUGAAAAGCCUCACUGAGAUUCUUCUAGCUCACACCAGCAUUGAGUUACUUCUUGAUUCAUUGGCAUCUAUCAGGGAGGCGAAGAGGAAUACAAAGUUGAUGAAUGCUUUGAAGUACCUGAAAGCAUGACAUCAAAGAGUUGGCAUUCUCACAAUUCACAAGAAUGUCGGAGACUGGAAUUCACAAGUUGUGAGGAAGUAUAUGGCCAUUUUAAGAUCCAGUGGAGAAUCAAGAAUGGGCGGUUCUUGUGAGAGACGAGCACAAGAAAGAAUGGGGCAUGCAGUGGUUGCGGCUUAUUUUCCCUACAGGUUUUGUUCCGGUCAAUGAUAGCUGAUGUGAAGGAUGAAGGACCUCAAGACAAGGAAGGUGCUUCUUACUAGCGGGCAUGAACAUGAGCUCUACAAGGUCAAGCUUGGAAGUAGAAGAACAGAGUAAAGCCAAUGCAUUCAUUAGAAAACAUAUUGUGAUUCAACAAUGGCAUGAUUGGAUGGGUUGUCUUUUAUUCAAAAGUUUUUAACAUGUCAUAAAUAAAGAUGGGUUAACUGGGUACUUUGAAAAUGCUGCUGAUUAUUUUUUGUGAAGCUAGCCAGGCAGGAAAAAGUCAUUAUUAAUAUUUGCUUCUUCAUCUCAAGAAAUCCAUGGAUCAUUCAAUGUGAUUUUUGCAAAUGUAUGUG